rnacentral:lncRNA from 1 species
GCGAGCAUCAACUCUAACCCAUCAUUUAUGUAUUGAGGAACGAGCCCUUAUUCUAUAAAAGGGACUCCCUCAACUUCAACACCACAAGCCGAGCCAACCAAGGCAACAUAAGCCACAAGCCGAGCAGUCUUGCAACAUGUGAUAGUUGAGUAUCAUUUCGGAUUGGACCCCGCCUCAUAUCGAGUAUCAGUCCUAGACAACAUCUAGUUACUUCGGCCCACACAUGGACUGAAUUUCAAGUCUCCAGCCAAAAGACUCUCUUGACUGAAGACUUAGGGGACUACUGUUUAUACCAUAUUUAGGGCCUCCGUAUUUAGAUCUCAUACAAAUACUCGGAGGACUUAAAUGUAAUUAUGUAAGAAAGGAAGGGGCGA